rnacentral:rRNA from 1 species
GACGAACGCUGGCGGCGUGCUUAACACAUGCAAGUCGAACGGAAAGGCCCUGCUUUUGUGGGGUGCUCGAGUGGCGAACGGGUGAGUAACACGUGAGUAACCUGCCCUUGACUUUGGGAUAACUUCAGGAAACUGGGGCUAAUACCGGAUAGGAGCUCCUGCUGCAUGGUGGGGGUUGGAAAGUUUCGGCGGUUGGGGAUGGACUCGCGGCUUAUCAGCUUGUUGGUGGGGUAGUGGCUUACCAAGGCUUUGACGGGUAGCCGGCCUGAGAGGGGGACCGGCCACAUUGGGACUGAGAUACGGCCCAGACUCCUACGGGAGGCAGCAGUGGGGAAUAUUGCACAAUGGGCGGAAGCCUGAUGCAGCAAAGCCGCGUGCGGGAUGACGGCCUUCGGGUUGUAAACCGCUUUCGCCUGUGACGAAGCGUGAGUGACGGUAAUGGGUAAAGAAGCACCGGCUAACUACGUG